GUUGCUUUAGAAACACCCGAAAGCGGGCGAGCUCCCCCUGGGCAGGCUGAAGGGCGGGGAAUACCCGUGCUGGAAGGCCGAACCCGUGGCCGUGGCAACGGCCUGGGAUGACCUGGGGGGAGGGGUGAAAGGCCUAUCAAGCCCGCUCAUAGCUGGUUUUUGGCGAAAGGUAUAAAGGUACCCAGCAAGAUUGAUUCGAAAGGGGUUCAGGGAACACCGAGGGUUUGGGGAGGUCUAAGCUCCUACUAUCCCACGGUAACCGUCAAGCUCCUUUUAGAAAAUCUUGUUGACAGGCCCGGGAUGCUAAGGUCCCGGGCCAAAAGGGAAACAACCCUAAGAGCUCGCCAUGGUCCCUAAGCGUGGGCCCAGUGGGAACGGCAGUUUUUCAGCAAAGACCCCCAGCAGAUAGGCUUGGAAGCAGCCAAUCUGGAAUGACAGCGUAACAGCUCACUGGGAGAGCUGAAAUGCGCCAUAUAUAUCCGGGGCUUCAGCCCACCACCGCAGCGGCUCUGAACUGAUUCU
rnacentral:rRNA from 1 species